CACCCAGAGGCAGAGCAGACAAAAGACACAACAGUUUCCUGGGAAAGGAAGAUGAUUCCAGUUUAAUUCAUCCAACAAAACUCUUCCAAGAAUGAGACCAGAAACCCUAACUGCAUCUUGGAGGGAGCUGGAGGCUUUCCCAUCACAAUGAGGCCAACUGCUACCAUGGGUGCCAGUGCCAGAGCCACUGUCUGCAGGCACUAUCAUGUCUGCGUGGGCCAAGGAGCAAUCUAAAUUAAGAUGAUCGUCUGGGUCCUCAGGCCCUCAGGGUUGCCAGGCAACUGUGAUCUAUUGCUUGGGCAAGAAAAGAAAGGUUGUACCUGCCUACAAGAUUAUCAACACCAUGUGAGAACAUCCACUUUGCUGAACUCUUUCUCACAUAUCACCUUUAGAGAUGUCACCUGUGACUCACUCUUGAAUAUAAAGAGAGAACCAAGAAUCAUCAGACAUGUGGAGAAAUGAUGUAACAUGAAAAGUAAUAUCAAAACAAAGAAACAAAAAAAGGAAGAAAUUGAGAAAUGCAACGGACUGAAUGUUUAUCUCUCCCCAAAUUCAUAUGUCAAAAUCCUAACCCCAAUAUGAUGGUGUUAGGAGGCGGGGCCUUUGGGAAGUAAUUAGAUCAUGAGGGUAGAUCCUUCAUAAGUGGAAUUAGUGCCCUUAUAAAAGAAACCCCAGAGAGCUCUCUCCUCCUUUUUCUGCUGUGUGAGAAUACAAGAAGAUGGCAUUCUCCAACCCAGAAGAGGGUUCUUGCCAGAACCCGGCCAUGCUGACAGAUUGAUCUAGGACUUUCACCUCCAGAACUAUGAGAAAUUAAUUUCUGUUGUUUGUAAGCCACUUAGUGUAUGCUACUUUGCUAUAGCAGCCUGAACAAAGACAGAAAGAAACUAAGAAGAUGAAAGACAGGAAUAAAAUCUCAUGAAAUUAUGAAAUUAUGGGUCUCAGAGUGAAAAGAUAGUGUAUUAAUGAAGAAAGAGAUGCUAUAAAAAACAGAGAAUAUGAUAUAGAGAAGAUAAGAACAUGAAAAAUUCUAUACCGUACAUUCAAGAGAGCAGUUGAAAGAUUAUGCUAAUAAAAGCAUACCAGAAAGUGGAAGAAAAAGAAAAAUAGAAGAGAAAAAGCAGAAAAUUUAACUAAUAGGAGUUCCAGAAAGAGAGAACAGAGAAGGCAGAGGGGAGUUAAUUAUCAAAGAAACACACACACACAGAAAUUUCAUGAGAUUGAAAGGCUUUGCCAAGAACUCUGACAUAAGAAGCACAUCUGUUUUUUGAUUAAGUACAUAUUAUCAGCUUUAAGACAACAGUCAGUAGAUAAGUAAUUGCUUUGCAAUGGAAAAAAUAUCACUUUAGGCUAACGCCUGUUGAACCAACUACACUACUCCAGAGGCUGAGACAAGACGAUUGCUUGAGUCCAGGAGUUCGAGGCUACAGUUAGCCAUGAAAGUGCCACUGCACUCUAGCUGGGUGACACAGUAAGACCCUAUCUCUAAAUAAAUAAAAAUAAAUCACUUGGUUUUUCUUAA